GCCAGACGGGGUUGCGGAAGCUCUGAGAGACCGACUGCCAUCGCACCUCCAUCUCCCAUAUCCAACCUCACUCACCGAUUCACGCCGCCCACCAUGCCUAGCGAAGUUUCAGAUAUCAAGCAGUUCAUCGAGAUCUGCCGGCGGAAGGAUGCUUCAUCUGCCCGUAUCAAGCGCAACCGCAAGACUUCCCAGAUCAAGUUCAAGGUCCGGUGCCAACGAUUCCUCUACACCCUCGUCCUCAAAGAUUCCGACAAGGCAGACAAGCUUAAGCAGAGUCUACCGCCCUCUCUCAAAAUCGCAGAUGUCUCCAAGGGAAACAAGAAGUCCACCUAAACGGAUGGUUUUGGGGUUUAAUGAAACGGGAGGGGGGUUGGUGUUUGGGGAGGGUGUUUAAAUAAAAAUAUUAUUUAAGCAAAAAAAAUGAAGAAAAAAUGAAUAACAAAAAUUUCGUCGGACGUAUGACUGGUUUGACUCUCAACUGGAAAUAGAUACACUACGAUUGAACGUGUGAGCUAUAGCUCAUUUUCAUUCUUGCCAAAGGGACGUGGGUUAUCGAAUGGAAUGGAGAAAACAACCCCCUUUUCCCGUGGAUAUUCAACAGGGCAAAUAUCAACGGGAGCAAGGGUGCCAGCAUGCCUCUUACUUUCUUUGUUCGUGUUGAUAUUAUGGCAAAGCUCGUGUUGGAGCGCUCCAGUCACUACUUAAGUACUCUCUUGUUGGGAACUUGAUGUAGUCAAUGGCUUCUGGGUUCUUUCGAAUGAAUGAUAGACUCCAGAGCUCGAUAGCUUUGGCAAUAGUCUUUUUGUCCUUUCCAUAUACCUCUUAAUUUUAAUUUCCUUUACUUCUCCUGUUUAUGAAUUCGUGGAUCACAAUAUCUCGGGAGUUCCCUCACGGAACUGACCCCUUAUUGCUUCAUCCCCGUUCAUAGCCCACCUCCAUAUACUCCUCCACCCCACACCUUCUCAACAACUGCCCUCCUUCAUCCCCACCCAAUCCUCCCCUCCUUAACUCCACCUCCCCAAACACAUUCGGCUCAUCAGACACCUUCGUAAACCCCAAACUCAGAAACAACCCCAGACUGCGCGCAUUACCCGCGCCAAUCUUAGCAGACAGAUAUGCUAGUUUCCCCUCUCCCACUACCACUUUUCCUAGUUUUGUCUCGUCCCGUCUCCCGUUAUCGUCUGCAGCUGGGGGCGCUGCUGCUAACGAUAACGAAGAAACAAACCCCCUCAUAAUUUCCACCUCAUGGUCCGCAAUAUACUUCAAAAAACAUACCAGUCCAGCCCUCCCAUACCCCUUACCCUGCUUCACUUUCUCUGCUAUCAUAAGUUCUAUUUCACCGACGACUCUUGCGCUGGUACCAGCAGCAGCUGCUGCUGCUGCAGGGAGAUGGCCAUUACCACCUUCUUCAUCGUUCGCAUCUAGUCUCAGAAACAAAUUCACGUCUCCCAGCAUUGAUGUUGAGGCAUCGAUACGUGGAUCAGUCAGCGGUGCCGUAGCUCGCAACUCUGCUGGUUGGCUGGCGUUUACAUCCUCUGCAGCUGCAGCUGCAGCAACACGAGCCACAGCCCCAGCCGGUAACGAAGAUGGUGAAGAAGAAGAAGAUGAUGAUGAUGAUUGUAGCGUUUGACGAAGCGGUAAACAGAUUAUAAAUGUUAAUUUAUCCGCAUCGGUGCGCCAGCUGGUUUGCAUGGCGUAUUCCUCCUCGAGGCUUAAUGGUUCGGAAGCGGUGGCUUGUUGGAUCUCCUAUGUGUUUGAUAUUUAUCAUUUGUUCAUUUGUUAUCAUCGUCAUCAUCAUCAUUACUAUCAUCAUUAAGUUUUUGUUAAUGAUAAUUACAAUAUGUAAAUAUAUAUAGACCUACGGGGUCUUUCAUCCACUCAUGGUACUGCGGCACAUGGUGCUUGCAGUAUGGGACGAGCAGGACACGGGAGGACGAGAGGGCGGUCUUUUCGUUGAUGAGCAUAGUUCAAUUUGCCAAUUCGUUUCGGAAUAUAUCAAGGCUCUUUUCAAACUCGAAGUGUGUUUGUGUGAUAUGUACGGUAUGUGUUGUGGCUCACGAGGGCGAAAACGGGGAAUGAAGCGGGAUGGGGUAAUUAUUGAGAUUGAUUUUUAAAUAAUUCUAAUAUGAUGGCGGGGAUUUAUUUCUUCCUCCCUCCCGUUCCUUUAUGCAGAGUGAUAUCUAGAACAUGAACAAAAAGCGGGAAGAGUGCGGUAUUCAAGAUGGUGUUAACUUCAUGGACUGGGAACUUACCAAGAUAGGAAAUUAGGGUCUCCAUCUGAGAGUAAUUUGGUAAAUCAGUGUGAAAGUACAAGUCAUCGCAAAUUUGAAUAACAUGAUAAAAUGAUUUUCUGAUCGCCGAGAGAGGAAGUUCUAAUGUGCUUCGCUAUAUCUAUUUGUUUAUGGCGAUUAUGUCGUUCUGCAAUCAUAAUGAAGCUACUAUCCCGACGUCUCAGUGUUUUCUUUAAGCAUAGAGGCAGCAAUAUACCCCCCCUCCAACAGCUAGCCGUGAUACAUAAGACGUGCGUGAAUAAUUCCCACCAAAUUAUUAAUCAUGGACUAUAAGAAAAAAAGUGCACGCCCUACUCCAUUUUCAUCUCGCUAUCGCCAUUCGCCUCAAGGUUCUCCUUCUCAAAGGUACCAAACUUCACAACUUCCACUUCCAACGUUUCCGCAUCAACGAGCACGAUCUCGCCCGUCUGGCUGAACUUCGGAAGCGCUAUUACGCGCACGCGGGUGCCUUGCUCCUCGCUAUUAUCUGCCGAAGAUAAGGUAGUGGAAGCUUCGACAAUUCCCGUUCGGAAACUUGGUUGGUUCCCUGCAAAGAAAACGUGCGGACAGGAUUGGAGAGUGAAUGGGUCGUGAGUUUGAUAAGGGUAACACCAUAACGUAUCCGGAGCAGUGGGCACAGCACACCGCCAUCUUAGCAUUGCUUCCAUUAGUCGUAAUCGCGCCUCACCGUCCUUGUCACUUUCACUACCCUGAAGAGUAUCCCCUUCCACUUCCAAAUCUAUGUAGCGAAGCACAUCGUCAACAUUCUGACCACUGCAGCCCCAAAACCGCCAGCCUUCCACAUCGCCUUCCCAGGGGUUCGUCACGUUAUCUAGCCAACCCGGUUCCGCGGCGGGCUCAGCUACUCCCGGGCGCGCUGCAGAGCAAUAGGCUUUUGAACGCGGAAACAUGGCCCUGUGGAUUUCCUGCUGGGGCAAUGAGAAAUUCGCAGGAUCGGUUUCGCCGGGCAUGAGGGUUAUGGGAAUACUAGGGAGGAUCUCGGCAAGGAAUGUAUCGAAAUGAUUGAUGGGCGAAGCGUUGUAAGCUGUGGCAUCGUAGCCAUACUUUUUAGGAGCGUGGCGCUUUUUCGCCAGCGCGGGAUCAGCAUUCUCGGCUUCGGAUUGAGAGAUGAUCAUGCUGCUUCCGAGGGAAUUUCCGGCAAUUAUGAGGCGGGUGAUCUGGGAUGAAGAUGGGGGGGUAUUGUUGUUGUGUGUUUGAGUGGGAAACUCGUUAUAUCCGAGAAGGUACUCCGUUAAGAGGGAUAGGGCGACUGUAUCUCCAGACGUGCCGGUGAUGUUAAGACCGCUGACUAGAGCUAUCUUUUUUCUUCUUCCUUCAAUGCUGUCACUGCUUGCUUCGAGGGAGCUGUGCUUCCGCUUUGCAGACUCCUGAGGAACAGAUGAUCUCUCCCAGCGCUCGGGUUGAGGUGGUAGAUCAGGUACCUUAAUAUCGAUCACCUCAAAAUCGCCAUUGGCGUUCUCCGUGCCGAGGACCGCAACUAUUGCCCCUGUGACGAGAAGAGACGAUUGAAGUAAAGUUCCGGUCAGCUGCAAACGGCCAGACUCAUCUUCUAGCAUUGUCUUUGUCAAUGCUUGAUUUGAAGGGUCAACAUAUGUUCUUCGAACGGGCGGAGCGGCAGUCCAAUGUUCUUUUGAGAUGUCGUCUAAAAUGUUAGGUUUCAG
rnacentral:sRNA from 1 species